rnacentral:rRNA from 1 species
CCUAAUAUAUUAUAUCAAAAUAUAUAUAAUUACGCUUAUCCUUGGUGUAUUUGCAUAUUAAAUUUUGGUUUUAAUGGUUUAAAGAUAAUUUUUACCUAUGAUUUUAAAUUUUCAUACUUUUUAUUUUAAAUAGUGAUUUUUUUAGUAUUUACCUUUUGUAUUAGGGGUAAAAGAAAUGGCCAAUUGAGGUUUUCCCGAAAUUAAUAGAUCUAUUAAAAUUAAUAUUAAUUAUUGAAUUUAACAAAAAAUUAAUAGAUGUUAUAUGCUAACGCUUUUAAAUAUCUGGUUAUUAUGCUUUUUGGGGGCUUAGCUCUUUAUUUCACUUUGAAGAAAAAGCCUAGUUAAAUUAAUAAAAGUCUUUUUUAAGUGUAUUAACUAAUCUAAUUUUUAAAUUUCUAAGGUUUAUAUUAUUAAUAUAAUUUAUUUAAGUUUUAUGAUUUUUAUAUUAGUAGAAAAGAAAACUUAAAUGUUUUAUUAUAUUUUACUUUUACUCUUUUCUUUAAAAUUAGUAAAAAUUUUGAAAGAAUGUUUACCAAAGUCUUUUCUAAGGAAUUUCUUAGAACCCUCUGCCCUAUGAAUUUUAAAUGGCCAUGGUAAUUUGACUAUGCUAAGGUAGCGAAAUCGUUAGUGUUUUUACUGAAUUCCAGCAUGAUAGAGGUCUCUUUUAAAUUUUUUUAUAGAAUUCUUAUUUUAACUUAAUUUUUAUUUGAAAAAUGUUUAAGAGCUUAAAAAAGACUAAAAGACCCUUGGAUUUUUAUAAAAUUUUAACCUUUUAAUGUUUAAAACUUUUAGUUUUAAUUUUUAUUUUCUUGGGGCAAGAUUUUAUUUGAAUUUAAUUUUACAUUUUUAAAAAACUAUUCUUUUAAUGAAAGUAAAAAUACC